rnacentral:rRNA from 1 species
AUACGGAGGGUGCAAGCGUUACUCGGAAUCACUGGGCGUAAAGCGCGCGCAGGCGGGCUGAUAAGUUGGAUGUGAAAGCCUACGGCUCAACCGUAGAACUGCAUCCAAAACUGUCAGUCUAGAGUCUGGGAGGGGAAGAUGGAAUUAGUUGUGUAGGGGUAAAAUCCGUAGAGAUAAAUAGGAAUACCAAAAGCGAAGGCGAUCUUCUGGAACAGUACUGACGCUGAGGCGCGAAAGCGUGGGGAGCAAACAGGAUUAGAUACCCUAGUAGUCC